rnacentral:rRNA from 1 species
GAUGAACGCUGGCGGCGUGCCUAAUACAUGCAAGUCGAGCGAACAGACGAGGAGCUUGCUCCUCUGACGUUAGCGGCGGACGGGUGAGUAACACGUGGAUAACCUACCUAUAAGACUGGGAUAACUUCGGGAAACCGGAGCUAAUACCGGAUAAUAUAUUGAACCGCAUGGUUCAAUAGUGAAAGACGGUUUUGCUGUCACUUAUAGAUGGAUCCGCGCCGCAUUAGCUAGUUGGUAAGGUAACGGCUUACCAAGGCAACGAUGCGUAGCCGACCUGAGAGGGUGAUCGACCACACUGGAACUGAGACACGGUCCAGACUCCUACGGGAGGCAGCAGUAGGGAAUCUUCCGCAAUGGGCGAAAGCCUGACGGAGCAACGCCGCGUGAGUGAUGAAGGUCUUCGUAUCGUAAAACUCUGUUAUUAGGGAAGAACAAAUGUGUAAGUAACUAUGCACGUCUUGACGGUACCUAAUAAGAAAGCCACGGCUAACUACGUG